rnacentral:rRNA from 1 species
GGGCCCGCACAAGCGGCGGAGCAUGCGGAUUAAUUCGAUGCAACGCGAAGAACCUUACCAAGGCUUGACAUAUAGAGGAAAAGUGCAGAAAUGCACUCCCCGCAAGGUCUCUAUACAGGUGGUGCAUGGUUGUCGUCAGCUCGUGUCGUGAGAUGUUGGGUUAAGUCCCGCAACGAGCGCAACCCUCGUCCUAUGUUGCCAGCACGUAAUGGUGGGAACUCAUGGGAUACUGCCGGGGUCAACUCGGAGGAAGGUGGGGAUGACGUCAAAUCAUCAUGCCCCUUAUGUCUUGGGCUUCACGCAUGCUACAAUGGCCGGUACAGAGGGCUGCAAUACCGCAAGGUGGAGCGAAUCCCAGAAAGCUGUUCGUAGUCCGGAUUGGAGUCUGCAACUCGACUCCAUG